UUUUUUUUUUUUUGCAAUUUAAUCAUUCAUUUAUUCAUUAAGCAUUUCUUGAUUUGUUCUAUGUGUCAGAUUUCUUUUUUUUUAUUUUUUUUAAUUAUACUUUAAGUUUUAGCAUACAUGUGCACAUUGUGCAGGUUAGUUACAUAUGUAUACAUGUGUAAUUUGUAAUCUUUAAUGCAAACAAUUUUCUCAAGAAUUGGUCACACUAGUUUGACAAAAGCACAGAACAGCUACGGUCAAUCACUGUUUCUUAUUUUAGCUAUUAGACACUAAUUUUCAUAUCCAUUGCAGAAUUGAAACUGUUUUUCAAAUACAAGUCUUGAGAAUAAAUGCUGUUUACUUUUACUAAUAUCAUUCCAGAACAAAUGGAACAUUUGUAACUUGAGUAAUUAGCAUCUGAUCCGUUCUUUCUAAAUUGUGAGCAUCUCCCUCUCUCUCUCUGCUAGUGCUCUCUCUCUCUCUCUCUGGUUUAAUUAAUGCUAAUGCAUACUGCCCUACAAGAAUUUGCAAGCUGUACUGAGAAAUAAUGCAGUGUUAGUUUUGUAAUUUAGUGCACAGAGCACAUUUGUGCAAAAGCUUUGUAAACUGGGCCCGUGGUCAAAAGGAGCAAUUAGCACUUUGUUAGUAUGCAAUGAUGUACUAAUCUGUGCAGUCCCCAAAAGCAAUUGUCUGUUCCAUUUUGCCCUCAUGUGCAAAUUUUUUCCAGUGUAUACAGCACUACUCCAAAAAUAACACAUUGCCUGCCUGGUGCUAUAAAUUGGAUUCAUGAUGAUGAAGACAUAUCAAUUAGAAAUAUCUUCUGGGGGGAAAAUGUACAUGAGUUUGGUCCUACAGUUUUUAGCAAAAUGAGGAAGUUGAUGCAUAGCCUUGACAAGGAGCUAUAGUUUUCUGUUCCUCACUCAAAUUUCACAAACGAAAUUGUUUUCAUCUUUAUAGAAAGACUAUAAGAUGGGCAUUUUGUGGGAAAACAAGAUCUCAAACCAGAGUAGUUAAACCCAGAAUCACACGGAUGUCGAUUUCAUUAACACAACAGGACUGAUUUGCAUUUAAACAGAUGCCAUCCGUUCCUUUAUUUAAAUAGCACAUAGGAAACAUAAGAAUUUUGUGCAUUCUUUGGACUUCUCAAGUUCUUAGUAAAGCACAUGAUUAUGUCAGUUGAACAAUAAAAACAACAAUAAUACCUUGCAUUUUUAGAACGAUUCUCAGUUUUCCUAAGGUAUUUCAGGUACACUGGCUCAUUUGAGUCUCACCACACAUCUGUGGGUAGGCAUUUUCAUCACCACUUUGCUGAUGUGGAAUCAUGGGUUCAGAGGUUGAGUGACUUGUAUAAAAUCACCCAGGAGGCAGUAUUGUAUAGUAAUUCAAAGCAUGAGCUUUGAGGCCAGGCUAUCUGAAGGCAAAUUUCAACUCUGCUUCUGUCUGGCAUGAGACUUUGGCUUAACCCUUCUGCACACGUUUCCACAACCGGAGAGGAGCCAAGAUGGCCGAAUAGGCACAGCUCCGGUCUACAGCUCCCAGCGUGAGCGACGCAGAAGAUGGGUGAUUUCAGCAUUUCCAUCUGAGGUACCGGUUUCAUCUCACUAGGGAGUGCCAGACAGUGGGCGCAGGUCAGUGGGUGCGUGCACCGUGCGCAAGCCGAAGCAGGGCGAGGCAUUGCCUCACUCGGGAAGCGCAAGGGGUCAGGGAGUUCCCUUUCCGAGUCAAAGAAAGGGGUGAUGGACGGCACCUGGAAAAUUGGGUCACUCCCACGCGAAUACUGCGCUUUUCCGACAGGCUUAAAACAAGGCGCAUCACGAGAUUAUACCCCGCACCUGGCUCGGAGGGUCCUACGCCCACGGAGUCUCGCUGAUUGCCAGCACAGCAGUCUGAGAUCAAACUGCAAGGCGGCAGCGAGGCUGGGGGAGGGGCGCCCGCCAUUGCCCAGGCUUGAUUAGG
rnacentral:lncRNA from 10 species